rnacentral:rRNA from 1 species
AACGAACGCUGGCGGCAGGCCUAACACAUGCAAGUCGAGCGCCCUUUCGGGGGAGCGGCGGACGGGUGAGUAACGCGUGGGAAUAUGCCCUUCUCUACGGAAUAGCCUCGGGAAACUGAGAGUAAUACCGUAUACGCCCUUUGGGGGAAAGAUUUAUCGGGGAAGGAUUAGCCCGCGUUGGGUUAGGUAGUUGGUGGGGUAAUGGCCUACCAAGCCGACGAUCCAUAGCUGGUUUGAGAGGAUGAUCAGCCACACUGGGACUGAGACACGGCCCAGACUCCUACGGGAGGCAGCAGUGGGGAAUCUUAGACAAUGGGGGCAACCCUGAUCUAGCCAUGCCGCGUGAGUGAUGAAGGCCUUAGGGUUGUAAAGCUCUUUCAGCUGGGAAGAUAAUGACGGUACCAGCAGAAGAAGCCCCGGCUAACUCCGUG